UACGUAGGGGGCUAGCGUUGUCCGGAAUCAUUGGGCGUAAAGCGCGUGUAGGCGGUCCGGUAAGUCCGCUGUGAAAGUCGAGGGCUCAACCCUCGAAUGCCGGUGGAUACUGGAAGGCUUGAAUCCGGGAGAGGGAUGCGGAAUUCCAGGUGUAGCGGUGAAAUGCGUAGAUAUCUGGAGGAACACCGGUGGCGAAGGCGGCAUCCUGGACCGGUAUUGACGCUGAGGCGCGAAAGCCAGGGGAGCAAACGGG
rnacentral:rRNA from 1 species